rnacentral:misc_RNA from 1 species
AACCCUAGGUUCUUUCCCAUCAAACCAACUCCAUCUUAGGCAAAAUCUGUGGCAUUCCCUCCAUAAAAGAAAAGUUUCCAAGGUUACUAGAAUUACCUCCAUUCUACAAAUUCCAGAUCCCCAUAGGAUUAGGAAGUAAUCCUUUGCCAUUUCCCAAAAUUGACUGAGAUCCAAUAUUUUUAGAUAUGAUUUCCCCCUUACCAGAACUACUAGGCCCCUUAUUCCUUUCAGCAAUCAUAUAGGCUCGUAACUCUUCCAAGAUGAUACUUUGGCUCUCAGUUUUCUUCAUCUUAUCUUCCUUGAAUUCCUUCAGAUCUCCAACAAUUAUUGAAGCCACCUCCUGCAAAUUCCGAGAAACAUCUUGCUAGUUUCUCACUUGCUCUUCCAACUCAGCAUUCUUUACCAUCUCUGGACUUGCUACAACUGAUCUAGUCAUAGUUCCGACUUCCAAAGAUCAAUUUCCCACUGAUCCCUAGACUCAAUAGCUCUGAUACCAAAUGUUAGG